rnacentral:rRNA from 1 species
GACGAACGCUGGCGGCGUGCUUAACACAUGCAAGUCGAACGGAAAGGCCCUGCUUUUGUGGGGUGCUCGAGUGGCGAACGGGUGAGUAACACGUGAGUAACCUGCCCCUGACUUUGGGAUAACUUCAGGAAACUGGGGCUAAUACCGGAUAGGAGCUCCUGCUGCAUGGUGGGGGUUGGAAAGUUUCGGCGGUUGGGGAUAGACUCGCGGCUUAUCAGCUUGUUGGUGGGGUAGUGGCUUACCAAGGCUUUGACGGGUAGCCGGCCUGAGAGGGUGACCGGCCACAUUGGGACUAAGAUACGGCCCAGACUCCUACGGGAGGCAGCAGUGGGGAAUAUUGCGCAAUGGGCGGAAGCCUGAUGCAGCAACGCCGCGUGCGGGAUGACGGCCUUCGGGUUGUAAACCGCUUUCGCCUGUGACGAAGCGUGAGUGACGGUAAUGGGUAAAGAAGCACCGGCUAACUACGUG